GUGUAAAGGUAACCUGUUAAGCGUUGUAUUGAAUUGAGCGGCCGGGUAUUCACUCUGACGGUCACGUUAGUAGCUUUGGAGGAGUAAUGGAGGAAAGAGAGGAAGGAAAGAACCGGGCCCGGACCACAGAGGAGGACAGGAUUUAUCCAUACCCAACCUGUUGAUGUGGAGACAAAAAUGCUAAUGCUUUCCUGAUUAUGUGAUUGGGGGUGCAUGGUCGUACUUACUUCGUGGAGCGAUCAGUCUGCUUACUUGUUUUUUACUUUUAAUCUUCAUUUAACGUAUGUUGGAGGGAUGGACUGCUCCCUCCCUCCCAUCGAGUGUUGGAGCUGCGCGUCUUUCCGUCCUCCUCACAUCAUACUAAUGAACAAUGUGAUAGUGACGAGCGUGUAC
rnacentral:rRNA from 1 species